GUGGGGAAUUUUGGACAAUGGGCGCAAGCCUGAUCCAGCAAUGCCGCGUGCAGGAAGAAGGCCUUCGGGUUGUAAACUGCUUUUGUACGGAACGAAACGGUCCUGGCUAAUAUCCGGGGCUAAUGACGGUACCGUAAGAAUAAGCACCGGCUAACUACGUGCCAGCAGCCGCGGUAAUACGUAGGGUGCGAGCGUUAAUCGGAAUUACUGGGCGUAAAGCGUGCGCAGGCGGUGCUGUAAGACAGGCGUGAAAUCCCCGGGCUCAACCUGGGAAUUGCGCUUGUGACUGCAGUGCUGGAGUACGGCAGAGGGGGAUGGAAUUCCGCGUGUAGCAGUGAAAUGCGUAGAUAUGCGGAGGAACACCGAUGGCGAAGGCAGUCCCCUGGGCCUGUACUGACGCUCAUGCACGAAAGCGUGGGGAGCAAACAGGAUUAGAUACCCUGGUAGUCC
rnacentral:rRNA from 1 species